UACGGAGGGUGCAAGCGUUAUCCGGAUUCACUGGGUUUAAAGGGUGCGUAGGUGGGCAGGUAAGUCAGUGGUGAAAUCUCCGGGCUUAACCCGGAAACUGCCGUUGAUACUAUCUGUCUUGAAUGUAGUGGAGGUGAGCGGAAUAUGUCAUGUAGCGGUGAAAUGCUUAGAUAUGACAUAGAACAUCGAUUGCGAAGGCAGCUCACUACACUAUUAUUGACACUGAGGCACGAAAGCGUGGGGAUCAAACAGG
rnacentral:rRNA from 1 species